rfam:Elusimicrobium minutum Pei191, complete genome.
GGGGGUGACAAGUUUCGACAGGUGCAUGUCUACUCUUGGUUGCAGGUACUGGUUGGCCAGGCCAGUUAAAACAGGGCUAAAAAAAAUAAUCGGCAAUCAAACCGAACUUAACUGGGCUACAGCCUAGUUUCCAUAUCUCUGCUUUCUCCCGCGAAGCGGGGAAUAUGGUCAAGAAGCGGGAUGCUGUUUUAAAGGCGAGCGUCGUACUUUAGAACUUAAGACUUACGAGGCGAACAAAACUCCGGCGGUUACGGGCCUUGGGUUUUGUUAUUAACCGUAACUAAACCUGUAGUAGCCUAGAUUAUGCUGUGCUUGGACGGGGGUGCGAAUCCCCCCACCUCCAUUU